CUCUGCUUCAUCUAUUCCACCUCCCAAGUCCCACAUCACCACCCACUACCGUCUCCAGUUCUCCACCUCAUCUCGAUCUUGAUUUAUCUGACCUUUCUUAAGCCGUUUACCACCGUAAAUUGGGAACGCCAAAUUUAACAAUCUGGAUCUCGUUCCAUCAGCGAUCGGGACGAUUUUGUACUGCAAUCCAGUACGGAAGAUCCGGAUCAUCGAAAAUCGUAAGACUCUUACCAGUUCCUUAUAUAGUUGAUGAUUAAUUAUAAAAGUUUUCAAAUUUGUAGAUGUAUUAAAAGUAUCUGCUGCCAAGAAAUUCAUGAUGGAAAGAGGAGUGCUUGAAAUAAGCGAAAAUACAGCCAAUAAAUCAAAUACAGAUUCAGUCAAGUGUGAAGCAAAUAGCAAACAACUCGUGUUAAUCUUUUGGUCAGAUGGACACUAGACGUAUUCUGAGACAUUAACCGAACGUCAGUUGCACUGGUGAGACCUUGUCCAUCUACACUCCAUGUACGCAUAGAGUGUUGAUGAGAACAAAUUCACUACAAAAAGUGCAUUUGCCGCUGGGAUUGCACCUGCAAAACCAUCACGUAGAAAACAAUAGAUUUCAUCUUUACAUAAUGACAUUGCUUGUACCAUUGGAAACAGUUGGUUUUCGGUGUUUGGUGACAUUGAAUCGACGUCAGUUGCACUUGCAAGACCUUGUCCAUCUACACUCUAUGUAUCUUUAGAGUGUUGACGAGAACAAAAUUCACUGCAAAAAUGGAUUUACUGCUGGGAUUGCACCUGCUUGCCAACGAAGGUUGUGUAAUAAGGUAUGCACGGAUAAUGAAUUGUACACGAACUUAGGGGAUUCCCAUUUAUCCAUCUUUGUAUAUUGCAGUUACCUUUGAAAAUUGUUAGUUAUGUUGUUUUUUGAUCGGUGUUUAACUACAGACCAAAAAUAUACAUUUUUCAAUUGUGAUUUU